AGAGUUUGAUCCUGGCUCAGGAUGAACGCUGGCGGCGUGCCUAACACAUGCAAGUCGAGCGAUCUUCUUCGGAAGAGAGCGGCGGACGGGUGAGUAACGCGUGGGUAACCUGCCCUGUACACACGGAUAACAUACCGAAAGGUAUGCUAAUACGAGAUAAUAUACUUUUAUCGCAUGGUAGAAGUAUCAAAGCUUUUGCGGUACAGGAUGGACCCGCGUCUGAUUAGCUAGUUGGUAAGGUAACGGCUUACCAAGGCGACGAUCAGUAGCCGACCUGAGAGGGUGAUCGGCCACAUUGGAACUGAGACACGGUCCAAACUCCUACGGGAGGCAGCAGUGGGGAAUAUUGCACAAUGGGCGAAAGCCUGAUGCAGCAACGCCGCGUGAGCGAUGAAGGCCUUCGGGUCGUAAAGCUCUGUCCUCAAGGAAGAUAAUGACGGUACUUGAGGAGGAAGCCCCGGCUAACUACGUGCCAGCAGCCGCGGUAAUACGUAGGGGGCUAGCGUUAUCCGGAAUUACUGGGCGUAAAGGGUGCGUAGGUGGUUUCUUAAGUCAGAGGUGAAAGGCUACGGCUCAACCGUAGUAAGCCUUUGAAACUGGGAAACUUGAGUGCAGGAGAGGAGAGUGGAAUUCCUAGUGUAGCGGUGAAAUGCGUAGAUAUUAGGAGGAACACCAGUUGCGAAGGCGGCUCUCUGGACUGUAACUGACACUGAGGCACGAAAGCGUGGGGAGCAAACAGGAUUAGAUACCCUGGUAGUCCACGCCGUAAACGAUGAGUACUAGCUGUCGGAGGUUACCCCCUUCGGUGGCGCAGCUAACGCAUUAAGUACUCCGCCUGGGAAGUACGCUC
rnacentral:rRNA from 1 species